rnacentral:snoRNA from 1 species
GAAUCCGUCUCUAAGUUAGAGACGGAUUUUAGAAAUCCGUCUCUAAUUUAGAGACGGAUUUUAGAAAUUCGUCUCUAAUUUAGAGACGGAUUUUAAAAUCCGUCUCUAAUUUAGGGACGGAUUUUUAAAAUCCGUCUCUAAUUUAGGGACGAAUUUUU